rnacentral:tRNA from 1 species
GCCUGGGUGGCUCAGUCGGUGAAGUGUCCGGCUUCAGCUCAGGUCCGUGGGUUCGAGCCCCACAUCGGGCU